GAUGAACGCUGGCGGCGUGCUUAACACAAGCAAGUCGAACGGAAAGGCUCCUGCUUGCAGGGGUACUCGAGUGGCGAACGGGUGAGUAACACGUGGGUGAUCUGCCCUGCACUUCGGGAUAAGCCUGGGAAACUGGGUCUAAUACCGGAUAGGACGAUGGUUUGGAUGCCAUUGUGGAAAGUUUUUUCGGUGUGGGAUGAGCUCGCGGCCUAUCAGCUUGUUGGUGGGGUAAUGGCCUACCAAGGCGUCGACGGGUAGCCGGCCUGAGAGGGUGUACGGCCACAUUGGGACUGAGAUACGGCCCAGACUCCUACGGGAGGCAGCAGUGGGGAAUAUUGCACAAUGGGCGCAAGCCUGAUGCAGCGACGCCGCGUGGGGGAUGACGGCCUUCGGGUUGUAAACUCCUUUCGCUAGGGACGAAGCGCAAGUGACGGUACCUGGAGAAGAAGCACCGGCUAACUACGUG
rnacentral:rRNA from 1 species